UGGAGUCAGUGCUUGUGAUAAUUUAUCAGACAGUAAUGUUAUCUACAGCCAAAGUUAAAAACUCACACACUAACUCAUGACUGCAUCUCUGAGCUAUCCAAAAGAUAUUAAUUUAGCGCAGCCCAGCUCUAUUGAACAGAUAUCCUUUGAUGUCAUCAUUCCUUGGAUCUUAUUGGACAGUAAGAAUUACCAAUGUUAGACGACAGUGGGGUAUGUUGACAUCAUUAUUGCUGUAUCCUGCGCAUAUCAGUGCACUAACAACCCGGGUUUCUUGAGUCCAAGAACACAGACAUUAAACUAUGCCAUCCGACAAGGACUCGAGGUAUUGUACUAUAGGCCAUAAAACUCCUGCAGUCUCCAGUGACAUUAUUACAUCGGCUCUAAAAGGGAAUACUGCUGGGAGAAAGAGAGCUACAGUGUGAAAUUGGAUAUUUUGAAGCAGCAGCGGCAGCAGGGAGGAAGAGCCUACUGAGUGCGCACCGAUGGGUACCCUUUGGGGUGCGGAUAUCAAAAGAAGCAACCCGGUCAGACACACGCCCGGUGGAACAGAGACGUGAGAUGACAAGACAGAAGUUACAAAGAGGUUUUGUUCGAGACAAGAGGGGAUUUCAUUCAGCACUACCGACAAUACAGAUCCUGUUCUGCUCGUCUCCAAGGGCUGAUCGCCGGACCGGUGCGUUUUACGCACAUCUUUUUUUCCCGGAAUAACCACCCAGCCUGACGUGAAUCAGCUGUUGCCGGCCUGAGCUGAAGGUGACCUGUUGGCUGGGCCAGGGGCUGCAACACAGGACAUGGGUCCUGCUUCUCCUCCCCGCUCGUGUCUUGUGUUGCAGCCAGUGGAGCUGCCUGUCUUCCUCUCUGCCAGUCUGCCCACCGCUGAUGGACUGAGCUCCCAGAACAGAUGGAUCCCACCGACUGUGGACCUGCCGACCCUGCUCCUCAUGUCACGGCUAGCUCGUACCUUAUCACUGUCAUUCUAAGUGUAGUUUUCAAAAUCAGCACAUUGUCUUUUCUCACGUUUUAAAGGCAAUAAAGUACUUUAGAGAAAAAUGUU